ensembl:snoRNA small nucleolar RNA, C/D box 12
GCUGGUGCAACUGAUGACUCAACUUUUUUCCCCAUCAGAUCGACCCUGUUGAUCCCACUGAACUAUAAGCCAGUUUUGUCUGAUGCAUCAGU